CCGGUGUCCCGGAGCACCCCCCCGGGGGAGUAGCCCCGGUUCUGCCCAGCCUGGGGUGGGGGGCACCGGGCGGGUCCAGGUGUGCACAGGUACAGCCCAGGUGUGCCCAGGUGUGCACAGGUGUGCCCAGGGACACCCCAGGUGUGCCCAGGUAGACCCCAGGUGUGCCCAGGUGUGCACAGGUGUGCCACAGGUGGGCUCCAGGUGUGCACAGGUGUGCCCAGGUGUGCACAGGGACACCCCAGGUGUGCCCAGGUAGACCCCAGGUGUGCCCAGGUGGGCUUCAGGUGUGCACGGGUGUGCCCAGGUAGACCCCAGGUGUGCCCAGGUGUGCACAGGGACACCCCAGGUGUGCCCAGGAAGACCCCAGGUGUGCCACAGGUGGGCUCCAGGUGUGCACAGGUGUGCCCAGGGACACCCCAGGUAUGCCCAGGUAGACCCCAGGUGUGCCACAGGUGGGCUCCAGGUGUGCACAGGUGUGCCCAGGGACACCCCAGGUAUGCCCAGGUAGACCCCAGCUGUGCCCAGGUGCAUCUCAGGCGUGUCCCAGCUGUGCCCAGGGACACCCCAGCUGUGCCCGGGUGUAUCCAGGUACAUCUCAGGUGUGCCCAGCUGUGCCCCAGCAGUGCCCAGGUGCUCCUCAGGUGUGCCAGGCGCACCUGGCUGUGCCCAGGUGUGCACCAGGUGUGCUCUGGGUGUACUCCAGGUGUGCCUAGGUGUACUCUAGGUGUGCCCACGUGUGCUCUGGGUGUACUCCAGGUGUGCCCAGGUGUGCCCAGGUGUACUCUGAGCGUACUCUAGGUGUACCUAUGUGUGCCCAGGUGUGCCCAGGUGCACUCCAGGUGUGCCCAGGUGUACCCAUAUGUGUUCUGGGUGUAUGCCAGGUGUGCCCAGGUGUGCCCAGGUGUGCCCAGGUGCACUCCAGGUGUGCCCAGGUGUGCCCAGCUGUGCGUGUUCAUGUGCUCUGUGUGUGCAGCACGAGAUCCGAUCACUCCUUCCGUUCUCCAUUUCGUCCUUGGGUUGAUUAUUUGAUUAUUUUUGGGUUUUAUUUGAAUUUCAAUUCCUUUUUCGUCCUUUCCCCCCUUUCCUCUGAUUUUGUGGUUUUGUUUUUUAUUUUAUUUUUUUUUUUGUAUCUUGGUCAUUUUUGUACAGAAGAAACGAGAGCCUUUUUUUUGAAUAACAAAGAGAAAA